UGUUUCGGCUAGGGGGCCAUCCCGGCUUACCAACCCGAUGCAAACUGCGAAUACCGGAGAAUGUUAUCACGGGAGACACACGGCGGGUGCUAACGUCCGUCGUGAAGAGGGAAACAACCCAGACCGCCAGCUAAGGUCCCAAAGUCAUGGUUAAGUGGGAAACGAUGUGGGAAGGCCCAGACAGCCAGGAUGUUGGCUUAGAAGCAGCCAUCAUUUAAAGAAAGCGUAAUAGCUCACUGGUCGAGUCGGCCUGCGCGGAAGAUGUAACGGGGCUAAACCAUGCACCGAAGCUGCGGCAGCGACACUGUGUGU
rnacentral:rRNA from 3 species